rnacentral:rRNA from 1 species
GUGCCAGCAGCCGCGGUAAUACGUAGGGUCCGAGCGUUGUCCGGAAUUAUUGGGCGUAAAGAGCUCGUAGGCGGUGUGUCGCGUCUGCUGUGAAAGACCGGGGCUUAACUCCGGUUUUGCAGUGGAUACGGGCAUGCUAGAGGUAGGUAGGGGAGACUGGAAUUCCUGGUGUAGCGGUGAAAUGCGCAGAUAUCAGGAGGAACACCGGUGGCGAAGGCGGGUCUCUGGGCCUUACCUGACGCUGAGGAGCGAAAGCGUGGGGAGCGAACAGGAUUAGAUACCCUGGUAGUCC